UUUGGAGACAUGCAGCUGGACAAAUUCUGUUGCUCAUUGCUCAGACUGGAGUUUACAUGUAUACCUCCUUCACCAUCAUUGGUGGACACUUCACCAUGAGUGAUGCUUGAGCUGUCAUGGUGCUGCUGCUGUUGUCUGCCAUCAUCCCCCUGACACAGACCACCCUGCAGACCAUCUUCAUCCUGGGUGUCACACGUCGCUGCUGCUACAGCUCAGAGCAACUGGAGCGCAAGCCAGGAAGGGAGAUGGGUUGAACAAUUUUCAUGGGUUCAGAGCAAAAGGCUUCCUCAUUCCUCCCCAAGGUAUUCUCGGAUGGUAAGCAGGUUUGACUCUGGAGCAAACCUGACCAAGGGCUACUGCCCAAGGCUACAGAGGUUCCUCUCCCUGAGGCUGAAUGCACCAUGUGAGAUGGUUCUGUUAUGUGGAUGAAUGUCAUGGUGGAUAGCAGUGCCACCACAUUCCUACAAUCAUCCAUCACUCCACUGCUCAAACGCAUCUGCAACCAAUGAUAGGUAUGCUGCCACAUUCUGCAUGGUCUCCUUGGCUCUCAGAUAAGGAUACUGUCAACAGGUUUGGGAUUGCCAAAAAAUCAUAAGGAGCUAUGUCUGAAAAGUCCAGAGAGAGAGAGAGAGAGAGAGAGAGAGAGAGAGAGAGAGAGAGAGAGAGAGAGAGAGAGAGAGAGAGAGAGAGAGAGAGAGAGA